rnacentral:rRNA from 1 species
CGACGGGUGAGUAAUACUUAGGAAUCUGCCCAGUAGUGGGGGACAACUCGAGGAAACUCGAGCUAAUACCGCAUACGCCCUAAGGGGGAAAGCGGGGGAUCUUCGGACCUCGCGCUAUUGGAUGAGCCUAAGUCGGAUUAGCUUGUUGGUGAGGUAAAAGCUCACCAAGGCGACGAUCCGUAGCUGGUCUGAGAGGACGAUCAGCCACACUGGGACUGAGACACGGCCCAG